AGAGCGAACGCUGGCGGCAGGCUUAACACAUGCAAGUCGAGCGGAUGUAGCAAUACAUCAGCGGCAGACGGGAUAGUAACACGUGGGAACGCGCCCUUUGGUUCGGAAUAACUCAGGGAAACUUGAGCUAAUACCGGAUAAGCCCUUACGGGGAAAGAUUUAUCGCCAUUGGAACGGCCCGCGUCCGAUUAGCUAGUUGGUGAGGUAAUGGCUCACCAAGGCGACGAUCGGUAGCUGGUCUGAGAGGAUGACCAGCAUCACUGGGACUGAGACACGGCCCAGACUCCUACGGGAGGCAGCAGUGGGGAAUAUUGGACAAUGGGCGCAAGCCUGAUCCAGCCAUGCCGCGUGGAUGAUGAAGGCCCUAGGGUUGUAAAGUCCUUUUAACGGGGAAGAUAAUGACGGUACCCGUAGAAUAAGCCCCGGCUAACUUCGCGCCAGCAGCCGC
rnacentral:rRNA from 1 species